UCAGGAUGGAGUUUUGCAAGACUGGGUCAUUGAUGAUUGCAUUGGUAACUGGUGGAGACCAAAUUUUGAACCUCCUCAGGAAAAUGUAAAACAAAUACAAGGCCGGGCGAGGUGGCUCAUGCCUGUAAUCCCAGCACUUUGGGAGGCCGAGGCGGGUGGAUCACCUGUUGAGGUCAGGAGUUUGAGACCAGCCUGGCCAACAUGGUGAAAGCUCGUCUCUACUAAAAAAUGUAAAAAUCAGCUGGGUUUGAUGGUACAAGCCUGUAAUCCCAGCUACUCCAGAGGCUGAGGCAGGAGAAUUGCUUGAACCUGGGAGGCAGAAGUUGCAGUGAACCGAGAUUGUGCCAUUGCACUCCAGCCUGGACAACAGUGAGACUCCUUCUCAAAAAAUAAAUAAAUAAAUAGAACAAAUACAAAAGAAGAGAGAAUCGUAAAAGUGAAUGAAUUGC
rnacentral:sRNA from 1 species